rnacentral:rRNA from 1 species
GACGAACGCUGGCGGCGUGCCUAAUACAUGCAAGUCGAGCGCUGACGGUUGGUACUUGUACCAACUGGAUGAGCAGCGAACGGGUGAGUAACGCGUGGGGAAUCUGCCUUUGAGCGGGGGACAACAUUUGGAAACGAAUGCUAAUACCGCAUAAAAACUUUAAACACAAGUUUUAAGUUUGAAAGAUGCAAUUGCAUCACUCAAAGAUGAUCCCGCGUUGUAUUAGCUAGUUGGUGAGGUAAAGGCUCACCAAGGCGAUGAUACAUAGCCGACCUGAGAGGGUGGUCGGCCACAUUGGGACUGAGACACGGCCCAAACUCCUACGGGAGGCAGCAGUAGGGAAUCUUCGGCAAUGGACGGAAGUCUGACCGAGCAACGCCGCGUGAGUGAAGAAGGUUUUCGGAUCGUAAAACUCUGUUGGUAGAGAAGAACGUUGGUGAGGGUGGAAAGCUCAUCAAGUGACGGUAACUACACAGAAAGGGACGGCUAACUACGUG